GUUCCUGUAGUUAAAUUUAUAAUGGCGGUUUUUCAAGCCGCAGACCCCAGAGAGAGGCUGGGCAGGAAUA
rnacentral:tRNA from 1 species